UAUUGUCUCGGUGGUUUGGCACCUUUUUGUCUUAAGAUAUUAUAUAAUUUAUUAUAAUUAAAAGGAAAAAUACAAACAAACAAAAAAAAAGAAAAAGAGCGUACGCUGUGUACGCAGAAAUACUAAAAUUACCAAAAUAAAUAAAAAAGAAGGGUUUUAUCUUAGAUAUUAGAUCUCAACCUCCACUAAUCAAUGUUUCAGUAUAUAGUGUAAUAUUUAAAAAAUAUAAUAUAAUAUAAUAUAAUAUAAAUUAAAUUAAAUUAAAUUAAAUUAAAUUAAAUAAAUAAAUUAGUAAUUUUAAAAAUAAAAUCUUAGUGCCUCCCUACCUGCGGUACCUGCGGUACCUGCCCUUUAGGGGGAGGGGAGGCAGCGAAGCUGCCGAUUCUUAAUUAUUUCAUUAAAGUAACAAAAAUUUGUAUUUACCCUUACGCUACUAUACCUAUCCCUCCCCUAUCCCUCCCCUAUCCCUUUAGGCUGGGAAGGGUGGGUGGUUAUCCCUUUAGGGUGCUGGGUGGGAAGGCAGGGACCCUUUUUUUAUAUAAUAAUUUAUAAUAUUAAAAAAAACAUAAAAUUAAAAAAAGACAUCGGGGAACUUAAAAAGCGA
rnacentral:rRNA from 1 species